rnacentral:rRNA from 1 species
AUUGAACGCUGGCGGCAUGCCUUACACAUGCAAGUCGAACGGCAGCACGGGAGCUUGCUCCUGGUGGCGAGUGGCGAACGGGUGAGUAAUACAUCGGAACGUACCCUGAAGUGGGGGAUAACGUAGCGAAAGUUACGCUAAUACCGCAUAUUCUGUGAGCAGGAAAGAGGGGGAUCGCAAGACCUCUUGCUUUAGGAGCGGCCGAUGUCGGAUUAGCUAGUUGGUGAGGUAAAGGCUCACCAAGGCGACGAUCCGUAGCGGGUCUGAGAGGAUGAUCCGCCACACUGGGACUGAGACACGGCCCAGACUCCUACGGGAGGCAGCAGUGGGGAAUUUUGGACAAUGGGGGCAACCCUGAUCCAGCCAUGCCGCGUGCGGGAAGAAGGCCUUCGGUUGUAACCGCUUUAGUCGGAGAAAGAAUCACGGAUAACAACCCUCGUGCUUU